AUUGAACGCUGGCGGCAGGCCUAACACAUGCAAGUCGAGCGGUAGCACAGAGAGCUUGCUCUCGGGUGACGAGCGGCGGACGGGUGAGUAAUGUCUGGGAAACUGCCUGAUGGAGGGGGAUAACUACUGGAAACGGUAGCUAAUACCGCAUAACGUCGCAAGACCAAAGUGGGGGACCUUCGGGCCUCAUGCCAUCAGAUGUGCCCAGAUGGGAUUAGCUAGUAGGUGGGGUAACGGCUCACCUAGGCGACGAUCCCUAGCUGGUCUGAGAGGAUGACCAGCCACACUGGAACUGAGACACGGUCCAGACUCCUACGGGAGGCAGCAGUGGGGAAUAUUGCACAAUGGGCGCAAGCCUGAUGCAGCCAUGCCGCGUGUGUGAAGAAGGCCUUCGGGUUGUAAAGCACUUUCAGCGGGGAGGAAGGCGGUGAGGUUAAUAACCUCAUCGAUUGACGUUACCCGCAGAAGAAGCACCGGCUAACUCCGUGCCAGCAGCCGCGGUAAUACGGAGGGUGCAAGCGUUAAUCGGAAUUACUGGGCGUAAAGCGCACGCAGGCGGUCUGUCAAGUCGGAUGUGAAAUCCCCGGGCUCAACCUGGGAACUGCAUUCGAAACUGGCAGGCUAGAGUCUUGUAGAGGGGGGUAGAAUUCCAGGUGUAGCGGUGAAAUGCGUAGAGAUCUGGAGGAAUACCGGUGGCGAAGGCGGCCCCCUGGACAAAGACUGACGCUCAGGUGCGAAAGCGUGGGGAGCAGACAGGAUUAGAUACCCUGGUAGUCCACGCCGUAAACGGUGUCGAUUUGAAGGUUGUGCCCUUGAGGCGUGGCUUCCGGAGCUAACGCGUUAAAUCGACCGCCUGGGGAGUACGGCCGCAAGGUUAAAACUCAAAUGAAUUGACGGGGGCCCGCACAAGCGGUGGAGCAUGUGGUUUAAUUCGAUGCAACGCGAAGAACCUUACCUGGUCUUGACAUCCACAGAACUUUCCAGAGAUGGAUUGGUGCCUUCGGGAACUGUGAGACAGGUGCUGCAUGGCUGUCGUCAGCUCGUGUUGUGAAAUGUUGGGUUAAGUCCCGCAACGAGCGCAACCCUUAUCCUUUGUUGCCAGCGGUCCGGCCGGGAACUCAAAGGAGACUGCCAGUGAUAAACUGGAGGAAGGUGGGGAUGACGUCAAGUCAUCAUGGCCCUUACGACCAGGGCUACACACGUGCUACAAUGGCAUAUACAAAGAGAAGCGACCUCGCGAGAGCAAGCGGACCUCAUAAAGUAUGUCGUAGUCCGGAUUGGAGUCUGCAGCUCGACUCCAUGAAGUCGGAAUCGCUAGUAAUCGUAGAUCAGAAUGCUACGGUGAAUACGUUCCCGGGCCU
rnacentral:rRNA from 1 species